AGACCCUCCCCUGUUACUAACAACACCUGAAAUUAUUCAAAGCUUUUAUUAUAGGUGAAAUAUAUCAACCUUUACUCUGGCCAUUAAUACAGAGUCAGAAUGUUCCCUCUGUUUCCAGGCCAGCAUAGAGAGGGACAGCGUUAGCACCUUGCCACAUACCUGGACCAAACCAUGCUACAUGACAGUACAGAGCCUGUUGUAUUCUCAGGGAAGGAGAGAGUCUCUUGUAGUGAAAUGCCUCGACUUAACAAUUUUACAUCGACAGCGUAGUGCAUGGAACCAAAGUCAGUGUCUGACCCAGUGAAUCCCGAAACUCUCUCUGUCUCCAUGCUUCUCUGUAGCUCACUUCCUGUUAGAGAUCUGCAGAGUCCACAAGAUGGUCCGAUGCCAAAUUGCUCCCUUUAAAAGCAGAAGACAACACUAACACCAGCCAUGUUGCUUUCUCCAGUGAUGUGCUCAAUAAUAAGAUAAUGCAAUUUACUGUUCCACCCUGGAUGCUGCAGUCUAUGGGGUAACAUGGUGGGUUCGCUAGGAUGUAAUAUGUAAAUCAGGUGUUUUUAUUGUCAAUCGUUAAAAGAAUUGUAGAGCCCCAAACAUAGAUGUUAAAAAGUUCACAUGCAGCCAUGGGCUCCCUGUUCAGUUUAAGAAUAGCACCCGUCCUUGUUCAUUGGUGUUAGUCAUUCGCUAGUGAACAUGGAAAGAUGGAGGCAUCACUUUGCACUUGGAUCAGCACCACACCUAAGGCAACAGGACUAGAAUCUGUCCCUCCAAAUUGCUAGAUGUGGCUCUCUCAUUUCAUUCCCAGGAAGCUCCUGUUGUUGUGGGAGUCUUCUCCCAGGCAGAAUAGCCUUGGAGCCUGACUGUGCUGAUUUCCUUGCAGCAUCCUAGCCCAGGACUCCACCAAACUGGCUGAAGAGAUGAUCCAGCUGAGAGUGGUGCACGGCCUUAUAUGUGCUAUGGGGAACCAGGAUCAUACCACCUGCCAGAGACAGGCCAGCAUCUCUCUAGAGUAUUUUGUCCGGACAUUUCCCAUUGUGGAGGAGCAUGUGAGGAAGGCAACAGGAGAGACUCUGUUCCAGCUUUUUAUGGUAAAUGGGCUUCUCUACCUGCCAGGGCUUGUUACUGGUCUGGAACAUGGGUCCAUUUUGCAGGGAUAAUGGGGACUGGCUUUCAUUCCUCUAAAGCCGCAGUGGAGCUCCAGUUCCUGAUCUGACUCCAGAGACCACAGGGGUCAGAUCACAAUGUCCUCAGUUAAAUGAAUUGCUUUGGUUUUGGCCCAACACCCCCGAAGACCUCGCUCCAUGCAGUGGGUAUCAGUGUGCACUUGCACUAUCCAUCUGUACUAAUGAGGUGGGACGAUUGGUGCAAAUCACAGCAGGGCCUGAGGUCUGAAGUCUGGGGGGAGGGGAUGGUUCUUUUCUGACUUGGGGUCCAUCGUUAGUGUAACUGGAGUAACGCUGAGGGACGUGUCUGGACUCACGUUUGCGUGGUGAUGUUGGAAAAGUGGCGAGACAUGCAGGGCUAGCAGGGUCCCAGAAUGAGGAGUUAGGCCUGAGCCUCCAUCCGAAUCUGAGCUCUCCUGCCUUGAGGUGGCUCAGGACUGAACACCAUGUAACUCAGCGGAAGCCCUGUCACAUGGGCCCAUUAAACCUGGGCAGGACAAAGCCAUAGGAAAUGUCCUGCAGGCAACAAUCCUGGCUCGUGCUGGACUCA